rnacentral:rRNA from 1 species
UACGUAGGGUGCAAGCGUUGUCCGGAAUUAUUGGGCGUAAAGAGCUCGUAGGCGGUUUGUCGCGUCUGCUGUGAAAACCCGAGGCUCAACCUCGGGCCUGCAGUGGGUACGGGCAGACUAGAGUGCGGUAGGGGGAGAUUGGAAUUCCUGGUGUAGCGGUGAAAUGCGCAGAUAUCAGGAGGAACACCGGUGGCGAAGGCGGGUCUCUGGGCCGAUACUGACGCUGAGGAGCGAAAGCGUGGGGAGCGAACAGG